GGGUUGUGAGGUUAAGCGACUAAGCGUACACGGUGGAUGCCCUGGCAGUCAGAGGCGAUGAAGGGCGUGCUAAUCUGCGAUAAGCGCCGGUAAGGUGAUAUGAACCGUUAUAACCGGCGAUACCCGAAUGGGGAAACCCAGUGUGAUUCGUCACACUAUCAUUAACUGAAUCCAUAGGUUAAUGAGGCGAACCGGGGGAACUGAAACAUCUAAGUACCCCGAGGAAAAGAAAUCAACCGAGAUUCCCCCAGUAGCGGCGAGCGAACGGGGAGGAGCCCAGAGCCUGAAUCAGCAUGUGUGUUAGUGGAAGCGUCUGGAAAGGCGCGCGAUACAGGGUGACAGCCCCGUACACAAAAGCGCAUGUGCUGUGAGCUCGAUGAGUAGGGCGGGACACGUGGUAUCCUGUCUGAAUAUGGGGGGACCAUCCUCCAAGGCUAAAUACUCCUGACUGACCGAUAGUGAACCAGUACCGUGAGGGAAAGGCGAAAAGAACCCCGGCGAGGGGAGUGAAAAAGAACCUGAAACCGUGUACGUACAAGCAGUGGGAGCCCCACCACCAAAGCAUUCUCUGGUGUUGAAGGCCCUGCAAAGCAGCAUCGCGGUGGCGGAGCGUCGUUUGCGACGCCCAACACACAAAACAAGCGGUGAAUGCUUUGGGGUGGGGUGACUGCGUACCUUUUGUAUAAUGGGUCAGCGACUUAUAUUCUGUAGCAAGGUUAACCGAAUAGGGGAGCCGGAGGGAAACCGAGUCUUAAUUGGGCGUUAAGUUGCAGGGUAUAGACCCGAAACCCGGUGAUCUAGCCAUGGGCAGGUUGAAGGUUGGGUAACACUAACUGGAGGACCGAACCGACUAAUGUUGAAAAAUUAGCGGAUGACCUGUGGCUGGGGGUGAAAGGCCAAUCAAACCGGGAGAUAGCUGGUUCUCCCCGAAAGCUAUUUAGGUAGCGCCUCGUGAAUUCAUCUCCGGGGGUAGAGCACUGUUUCGGCUAGGGGGCCAUCCCGGCUUACCAACCCGAUGCAAACUGCGAAUACCGGAGAAUGUUAUCACGGGAGACACACGGCGGGUGCUAACGUCCGUCGUGAAGAGGGAAACAACCCAGACCGCCAGCUAAGGUCCCAAAGUCAUGGUUAAGUGGGAAACGAUGUGGGAAGGCCCAGACAGCCAGGAUGUUGGCUUAGAAGCAGCCAUCAUUUAAAGAAAGCGUAAUAGCUCACUGGUCGAGUCGGCCUGCGCGGAAGAUGUAACGGGGCUAAACCAUGCACCGAAGCUGCGGCAGCGAACGUAUCACUUAAAGCGAUUCAGCGGGUUACGAUUGACGGAGCGAAGCGACGUCAAAGCGUAUACAAAGUCGAGUCGGUUUAAGGAUACGUUCGUUGGGUAGGGGAGCGUUCUGUAAGCCCGUGAAGGUGGCCUGUGAGGGUUGCUGGAGGUAUCAGAAGUGCGAAUGCUGACAUAAGUAACGAUAAAGCGGGUGAAAAGCCCGCUCGCCGGAAGACCAAGGGUUCCUGUCCAACGUUAAUCGGGGCAGGGUGAGUCGACCCCUAAGGCGAGGCCGAAAGGCGUAGUCGAUGGGAAACGGGUUAAUAUUCCCGUACUUGGUGUUACUGCGAAGGGGGGACGGAGAAGGCUAUGUUGGCCGGGCGACGGUUGUCCCGGUUUAAGCGUGUAGGUGUGUGUUCCAGGUAAAUCCGGUUCACUUUAACACUGAGGCGUGAUGACGAGGCACUACGGUGCUGAAGCAACAAAUGCCCUGCUUCCAGGAAAAGCCUCUAAGCAUCAGGUAACAUCAAAUCGUACCCCAAACCGACACAGGUGGUCAGGUAGAGAAUACCAAGGCGCUUGAGAGAACUCGGGUGAAGGAACUAGGCAAAAUGGUGCCGUAACUUCGGGAGAAGGCACGCUGACACGUAGGUGAAGUGAUUUACUCAUGGAGCUGAAGUCAGUCGAAGAUACCAGCUGGCUGCAACUGUUUAUUAAAAACACAGCACUGUGCAAACACGAAAGUGGACGUAUACGGUGUGACGCCUGCCCGGUGCCGGAAGGUUAAUUGAUGGGGUCAGCGCAAGCGAAGCUCCUGAUCGAAGCCCCGGUAAACGGCGGCCGUAACUAUAACGGUCCUAAGGUAGCGAAAUUCCUUGUCGGGUAAGUUCCGACCUGCACGAAUGGCGUAAUGAUGGCCAGGCUGUCUCCACCCGAGACUCAGUGAAAUUGAACUCGCUGUGAAGAUGCAGUGUACCCGCGGCAAGACGGAAAGACCCCGUGAACCUUUACUAUAGCUUGACACUGAACAUUGAGCCUUGAUGUGUAGGAUAGGUGGGAGGCUUUGAAGUGUGGACGCCAGUCUGCAUGGAGCCGACCUUGAAAUACCACCCUUUAAUGUUUGAUGUUCUAACGUGGACCCGUAAUCCGGGUUGCGGACAGUGUCUGGUGGGUAGUUUGACUGGGGCGGUCUCCUCCUAAAGAGUAACGGAGGAGCACGAAGGUUGGCUAAUCCUGGUCGGACAUCAGGAGGUUAGUGCAAUGGCAUAAGCCAGCUUGACUGCGAGCGUGACGGCGCGAGCAGGUGCGAAAGCAGGUCAUAGUGAUCCGGUGGUUCUGAAUGGAAGGGCCAUCGCUCAACGGAUAAAAGGUACUCCGGGGAUAACAGGCUGAUACCGCCCAAGAGUUCAUAUCGACGGCGGUGUUUGGCACCUCGAUGUCGGCUCAUCACAUCCUGGGGCUGAAGUAGGUCCCAAGGGUAUGGCUGUUCGCCAUUUAAAGUGGUACGCGAGCUGGGUUUAGAACGUCGUGAGACAGUUCGGUCCCUAUCUGCCGUGGGCGCUGGAGAACUGAGGGGGGCUGCUCCUAGUACGAGAGGACCGGAGUGGACGCAUCACUGGUGUUCGGGUUGUCAUGCCAAUGGCACUGCCCGGUAGCUAAAUGCGGAAGAGAUAAGUGCUGAAAGCAUCUAAGCACGAAACUUGCCCCGAGAUGAGUUCUCCCUGAGACUUAGAGUCUCCUGAAGGAACGUUGAAGACGACGACGUUGAUAGGCCGGGUGUGUAAGCGCAGCGAUGCGUUGAGCUAACCGGUACUAAUGAACCGUGAGGCUUAACCUUACAACGCCGAAG
rnacentral:rRNA from 1 species